rnacentral:rRNA from 1 species
CCGGAAUCGCUAGUAAUCGCGAAUCAGAAUGUCGCGGUGAAUACGUUCCCGGGUCUUGUACACACCGCCCGUCACACCAUGGGAGCCGGAAAUGCCCGAAGUCAGUGGCCCAACCUUAAAGGAGGGAGCUGCCGAAGGUGGAGCUGGUAACUGGGGUGAAGUCGUAACAAGGUAGC